AUGGCCCGCACCCUCCUGCUGGGCCUGUUCAGCAUUGAUGUCCUACUGAAGUCCAACCUGACGGGAGGGGUCAACAAGGUCGAUCCAUCUGCAGAGAGACGCCAGCCUCUGGAACCCAAGAAGCUUACAGCUUUACUCAAUGCAGUUGUUCAGCAACACCCAGGGGCGAAGAUUCCAGACAUACGAACGGUCAUAAACAAAAGGAUCUGUGAGUUAAGACACCAGGGGUGUAUUCCAGAAAGCAGGUUAUGUGACAUACCCGGGUAUGUCACAUAACCUGCUUUCUGGAAUACCCCCCAAGAGAAGAAAAAGUCCAUGGACAACUGAAGGACUGGCCAAGGCUAGCCAAUCAGAGUGGGUCUUGAUAAGUUAGCAUGCGGGAUCCAUAACACUGCACUAAAGGAUUGUUGUCCUGUUUUUUCCACUUAGGGAUUGUUCUGUUUUUGUUGCACUGAAGACUGUUGUCCUUUAGGAAAUGUUUUAUUAAUUCUUAUAUAUAUUUUUUUAUAUAUUAAAAAAAAAGUAUUUUUGUUCAUUUAUAGUUGUUGUUGGAUCACAUAAAAAUAUAAUGUUUAAAAAAUAUAUAUAUAUUUUAUAGCCUUGAACUAAUUAUGAUAUGGCAUAUAUGGCACAUCCCUACCAGCAAACCAGCUUGCCGUUUGCCGAGCACAUUAUGUACAUUAUGUGUACAUAAGCUUCAGAUGGAACAAUGGUGAUAUGCCUUUCAUUCUGUCUGUUCUCAGGUCACUGUCCCUUCAGCUGCUGCUUUUGAAAUAAACCUCAUUCAGUUACUGUGAACUAUACUGAU
ensembl:lncRNA